UACAGAGGGGGCAAGCGUUGUUCGGAAUUACUGGGCGUAAAGGGCGCGUAGGCGGCCUGCUAAGUCGAACGUGAAAUCCCCGGGCCCAACCCGGGAACUGCGUCCGAUACUGACAGGCUUGAAUCCGGGAGAGGGAUGUGGAAUUCCAGGUGUAGCGGUGAAAUGCGUAGAUAUCUGGAGGAACACCGGUGGCGAAGGCGGCAUCCUGGACCGGUAUUGACGCUGAUGCGCGAAAGCCAGGGGAGCAAACGGG
rnacentral:rRNA from 1 species